rnacentral:snoRNA from 1 species
UGGAAGUUAUGGAUACACAUCUGACCAUCUAGUACAGGUCAGGUGUCACUGAAAGCUUCCUACAGAAAAUCUCUCUCUGAUGACUACAGUAUAUCUAGAUAAUGCUGUGGACAGAUACGGAGUGUACAAAC